AGUGAACGCUGGCGGUAGGCCUAACACAUGCAAGUCGAACGGCAGCACAGUAAGAGCCUGCUCUUACGGGUGGCGAGUGGCGGACGGGUGAGGAAUACAUCGGAAUCUACUUUUUCGUGGGGGAUAACGUAGGGAAACUUACGCUAAUACCGCAUACGACCUACGGGUGAAAGCAGGGGAUCUUCGGACCUUGCGCGAUUGAAUGAGCCGAUGUCGGAUUAGCUAGUUGGCGGGGUAAAGGCCCACCAAGGCGACGAUCCGUAGCUGGUCUGAGAGGAUGAUCAGCCACACUGGAACUGAGACACGGUCCAGACUCCUGCGGGAGGCAGCAGUGGGGAAUAUUGGACAAUGGGCGCAAGCCUGAUCCAGCCAUACCGCGUGGGUGAAGAAGGCCUUCGGGUUGUAAAGCCCUUUUGUUGGGAAAGAAAAGCAGCAGGUUAAUACCCCGCUGUUCUGACGGUACCCAAAGAAUAAGCACCGGCUAACUUCGUG
rnacentral:rRNA from 1 species